AGGACGAACGCUGGCGGCGUGCUUAACACAUGCAAGUCGAGCGGAAAGGCCCUUCGGGGUACUCGAGCGGCGAACGGGUGAGUAACACGUGAGUAACCUGCCCCUAGCUCUGGGAUAGCUCCGGGAAACCGGGAUUAAUACCAGAUACGACCACUUUAGACAUCUGUCGUGGUGGAAAGGAUUCCGGCUAGGGAUGGGCUCGCGGCCUAUCAGCUUGUUGGUGGGGUAACGGCCUACCAAGGCGACGACGGUAGCCGGCCUGAGAGGGCGACCGGCCACACUGGGACUGAGACACGGCCCAGACUCCUACGGGAGGCAGCAGUGGGGAAUAUUGCGCAAUGGGCGAAAGCCUGACGCAGCGACGCCGCGUGGGGGAUGAAGGCCUUCGGGUUGUAAACCCCUUUCAGCAGGGACGAAGCGAAAGUGACGGUACCUGCAGAAGAAGCGCCGGCUAACGUACGCGCCAGCAGCCGC
rnacentral:rRNA from 1 species